UUGCAAAAAGGAUUACAGUGAAAAUCCUUUUUGUAAGGAACGAACAAAAAGAUUGUAACGUAAAGCCCGAUCCGCC
rnacentral:sRNA from 1 species